AUGCCCUCUCCUGGACUUAGCCUCCCCCUGCAUACAGAGAAUAGUCAUCCCGCCUUGGUACCUGCAAUAGAGAAGAUGAAAGGGAUUCAGCAACAGCCUAUCAGUCUUCAACUGGGCAAACAAAUUAAGAGCUCUCGCCAUUCCUCAAAACUCAGCCCUGCAAAGAAGCUGAAACGCUUUAAUCCUUAUGAAAUUACCAAUGCAGCUCCUCUUGCCUUUGAUGAGGCUUGUCUUUUGGAUGCUCCGAUUAGGGAAAUACCUACUGACGGGAUUUGGGCGAAGGUGACUGGCCCUCAACAGUCACCAAAUCAAAAAUGAAACUCUUAAGUUGGAACUGCCAGGGGUUGGGCAAUCCCCUGACAGUCCAAGCAUUAAAAGCCCUAGUGGCUCAAGAAAAGCCCGAUCUUCUUUUUCUUAUGGAAACUAAGCAGCAAGAAGCGUUUCUUCAGCGACUGCAUUGUCGUUUGCAUUUUUGUCAUUUUCAUGUUUAUGAUCCGAUUGGCUUGGCCGGAGGCUUGGCUGUUUUUUGGAAUGACACGGUUUCUAUAGAUUUUCUUAGCUCUACCUCUGUUCUUAUUGAUAUGACUUGCAAGGAAGGAGGGGAUGGUCUUUCUUGGCGCCUUACUUGCCUUCAUGCCCCUGCAGUCCAUCACCUUCGUCAGCAGGUUUGGCAUGAUCUCAUCCACAUAAGUCUUGCCAAUGUUCUUCCUUGGGUUUGUGUUGGAGAUUUUAACGAGAUUCUUUACCAUUGGGAGAAGCAGGGGGGACGAGCAAUAGAUUGUAAUAGAUUGGCAUCUUUCCAAGAAGUUGUGAAUGACUGUGGGUUAAUGCAUAUGGAAGCGAAGGGCUGCGCCUUUACUUGGACUAAUAACCGUCAGGGGCCUGCUUUUAUUAAGGAAUGUCUUGACCGAGCUCUGUGUUCUAUGGAAUGGCGUCUACUUUUUCCCGGGGCUAAAGUUUCUGCUCUCCCAGCAAUUGCAUCGGAUCAUAGUCCGCUGAUUCUAAACACUAUGCCCACUCGCACUAACACACAACGCCACUUUAUGUAUGAAGCGUACUGGAAUCAAGAUGCAGAGUGUCGGGACAUAAUCAGCUCCUCUUGGAAUUCUGAUAAUCUAAAGAAUGCAGCAAUCAAGUUUAAGAUCCAAGCUGUCUCUGGAGCUCUCACAAGGUGGAGCCGCACUAAAUUUCUACAAAAUCGUAACCACGUGCACAAUUUACAACAACAAUUACAACAGCUCAUUAAUCACCCUCAUGGUUUGUAUGACCACUCAGCAGCUAAUGAGUUAAAAGUAGAGCUACAACUGGUGUGGAGUCGUGAGGAACAGUAUUGGGCUAUGAGAUCUAGACUCAAUUGGCUGAAAUGGGGGGAUAAAAAUACCAAGUUUUUUCAUGCUACUACUAUUCAAAGGCGUCAGCGGAAUAAAAUUACUAUGCUACAGAAUGAUAAUCAUUUUUGGGUACGAGACCCUACAACUUUGCAAUAGAUGGCCACCACUUACUUUUCAAGCUUAUAUACCUCCGCUGGUCACCGCAAUUAUGAACCUAUCUUGUCACAAUGCCCUACCAUAGUUACACAUGAGAUGAAUCAGCAGCUAACUGCAACUGUAACUAUUGAAGAAGUCCAUCAGGCUACAUUUCAACUAGGGGCCACCAAAGCUCCGGGUCCGGAUGGUCUUAAUGGUCUAUUCUACCAGACGCACUGGGACAUUAUCAAAACUGAUCUCUUUAGAGAGGUAAGCCAUUUCUUUACUUCUGGUAUCAUGCCUCUAUCCAUUAACCGGACGCUGAUUUCUUUAAUUCCUAAAGUUCCCCACCCUGAACGCCUUGACCAAUAUCGCCCUAUCAGCUUGUGCAAUUAUGUGUAUAAAAUUAUCUCCAAGGUCAUAGCCAAUCGUUUGAAACCUCUGCUACCAGUUCUCAUUUCAGAAGAACAGUAUGCUUUUGUUGGGGGUAGACAGAUACAGGAUAACAUUUUACUAGUCCAGGAAGUUCUUCACCAACUUAGGAUCUCACGAGGGAAGCGCCACUUUCGGGCCAUUCUUAAAAUUGAUAUGAUGAAGGCAUAUGAUAGGGUUGAAUGGGAUUUCCUCAAAGACUAUCUUCUUAAAUUGGGAUUUCAUCCUAUGUGGGUGCAGUGGAUAAUGCAGUGUAUUACAACCCAAUCUUCUUGUGUGAAAUUCAAUGGGCAGCACCUACAAUAUUUUCAUCCUUCUAGAGGUCUUCGACAGGGCGAUCCCCUUUCCCCAUAUCUUUUUAUAUUGAUGGCCAACCUUUUAUCAGUUUUAAUUCACAAUGCCAUUAGUAUGGAAUCUCUCAAAGGUAUUAGACUCAACAGAUGGUGUCCUUCGUUGUCCCAUUUGUUCUUUGCAAAUGAUGCUAUCUUUUUUCUUGAUGGCACUGUUCGAGAAUGUCAGAAUUUAUCUCAUAUCUUACAUCAGUACUGUGUAGCUACAGGGCAAGCUAUUAAUCGUAAUAAAUCCGGCCUUUUUUUUCGGGAAAUCCUGUCCUGCUACUUUACAGCAUAACAUGGCCAGUGAAUUACGUGUUCCUAUCUUGCAACAGUCUGGGAAAUAUUUGGGGAUACCUUCUGAUUGGGGGCGUUCCAAAAAAGAUAUGUUCUCUUGGGUAAUGGAGAGAGUAAAUAAGAAGUUGGAAGGGUGGAAAGAAUCACUACUAUCAAAAGGGGGGAAGGAGGUCCUUCUUAAAACUGUUGUACAAGCUAUUCCUCAGUACGCCAUGUCCAUCUUUAAGCUCCCACUCUCUAUUUGCCGAUCGAUUGAGAAACGAAUUGCCAGGUUUUGGUGGCAGACAGAUAAAAACAGAUCUGCCAUCCAUUGGAGGAGUUGGGAAGUCCUGACAAAACGAAAGGAAGAGGGUGGUUUGGGAUUUCGAGAUCUCUUGAGUUUUAAUAAAGCCAUGUUGGGAAAACAGGCUUGGCGUCUGUUUACUAACCAUUCCUCGCUAUGGAGUAAGGUUUUUCAGGGUAUCUACUUCCACUCUAGAUCAUUUUAUAAUGCCUUAGCAACCAGAGCGAAUUUAUAUCACAGACAUGUAACUCCUACUCCUAUUUGCCUGCUUUGCAAUCAGAAUUCACCCGAGACUCUUGAACAUGUCUUUCUGCUAUGUCCCUGGGUAACAGAGGUAUGGUCUCAUCCCCUUUUGCAUAUACACAUCACUCCCACAGCAGUACAUAGAAUAGACAAAUGGAUUGCAGAGCAAGUCCAAAGUAAACAUAACUCACCUGGUUUAGAGAUCCUCGCAUCUGUGUUGUGGCAGAUUUGGCGUGCUCGCAAUGGGUUCAUUUUCCGCAACCAGCAGCUUCAACCUUCUCGCGUGGCCGAGGCAGCGCUUGCUGGGAAUCACGCUGCUCGUCUUGUUGCCUUCUCCUUCACCAGUAAAGGCCGGUCACUCCAUCUUGGGGAAACCCUUUGGAAACCGCCUGAUCCGGGUACCCUGAAAGUAAACAUAGAUGGAUCACAUCAGCCAGGAUCUAAAGAGGGUAGUAUGGGUUGCAUCUAUCGAGAUCAUAAUGGUCGACUCACUGAUGGCUUCUCCUCGCACUUUGCAACAUCUUCGGCUUUACAGGCGGAAAUCCAAGCUCUCACUUUGACACUCCACCAUCUGAUAUGCCAAGGCUUCACUAAGGCUCGCCUUCUCCUUGAAUCUGAUAGUUUGGUUUUAGUUGACACUCUUAAUCACCGGAGGAAGCCGCCAUGGGAUGCCAGAUCUCUGUUCGAAGAAGCUGCCGCACUGUUGUCCCUCUUCUCUAACCUAACUCUCUGUCACUGUCGACGAGAGGCAAAUG
rnacentral:lncRNA from 1 species